rnacentral:rRNA from 1 species
UACGGGGAGAGCUAGUAUUAUUCGGAUUUACUGGGCGUAAAGCGCAUGUAGGCUGUUCAUUAAGUUGAAGGUGAAAGCCCAAAGCUUAACUUUGGAAUAAUCUUCAAAACUGAUAAACUUGAGUGUAAUAGAGGAUAGUGGAAUUUCUAGUGUAGAAAUAAAAUUCAUAAAUAUUAGAAGGAACACCAAAGGCGAAGGCAACUAUCUGGGUUACUACUGACGUUAAAGUGCGAAAGCGUGGGGAGCAAACAGG